rnacentral:rRNA from 1 species
AGAGUUUGAUCCUGGCUCAGAAUGAACGCUGGCGGCGUGCCUAACACAUGCAAGUCGGAUGUGCCGCAAGGUGCAUGGCAGACGGGUGAGUAACGCGUGGGGAAUCUACCUCUUUGUGGGGAAUAACGCUCCGAAAGGAGUGGUAAUACCGCAUGAGAUCCAUGGCUGGGAUGCUGUGGAUGAAACCUGGGGACCGCAAGGCCUGGGGCAAGGAGAGGAUCCUGCGUCUGAUUAGCUAGUUGGUGAGGUAAUGGCCCACCAAGGCGACGAUCAGUAGCCGGCCUGAGAGGGUGAUCGGCCACACUGGAACUGAGACACGGUCCAGACUCCUACGGGAGGCAGCAGUGGGGAAUUUUGCGCAAUGGGCGAAAGCCUGACGCAGCAACGCCGCGUGGGUGAUGAAGGUCUUCGGAUCGUAAAACCCUGUCGUCGGGGACGAAGGUGGAGGGGUUAAUAG